CUUCAAUAUGGCGGACGCCGUGUAACGUAAACAGUGCAAAGAAUGUCAAACAUUUUCGUAAAGUUUUGAAUAGAAUUGGAUUGUUAAAACUAUUUGCGCAUGACAAAACAGUUAUAUGACUAUAAGAUGAUAACCACACCACCAUCAAGUAGUGCUAUGUAGAUGCUGUGAUGUCAUCAUCAAACAUUUCCCUUACAAGCCAGACCCCCAGGAGCAUGGAGGACCCAGCACCACCCCUGGGUGUGUCAGGGCUAAAUGGAGGGGGUGGGACAGCAUUAACAGGCGGUACACACCCACUGGCGACCAUGGCCAAGCCCCGUUCCACACUAAGUAAGGAAGAAGAAGAGGAAAUUAUGAAAGAAGUGUGCGUGAAUAAUGGAGUCAAGUACAGUAAGAUUUUGACUGCUAGUGAUGAAACAAACCGUGUCCAUCUUCUGGAAAUAUUUUUUGCCGGCUACCCAAAGAUGGUUGGCCUUAACAUGUUUCCGAACUUACGAACACUUGUGAUAAUAAACCAGGCUAGUUUAUCGAGGAUAGAGGGGCUGUCUCACUGUCCAAAGCUGUCGGAGUUGUGGAUUUGUGAAUGUGAUAUCAGCAAAAUCGAGCAGAUGCAGCAUGUGAAACACCUGAAGAAACUCUACUUGUACAGUAACAAGAUUGGUGUCAUUGAGAAUCUAGACGCGCUGACGGAACUCGAGGUCCUCUGGCUUAAUCAUAACGAUAUUGUCAACAUAGAGAACAUUCAGAUGUUGACAAGACUUAAACAGUUGAAUUUAGCAGAAAACAAAAUAGAAAAAAUAGGUCACACAUUAGAUGCCAACCAGAGACUAGAAGAACUCAACCUCUCUGGAAACAGACUCUCGUCUCUCAGGGACUUGACAAACCUGAUGCGGCUUCCCUUCCUGUCCAGCCUGUGCAUGAAGGACCCUCUGUACAGCCCAGCCCCCGUCAGUCUGCUCUGUAACUACGCGACACACGUCCUGUACCAUCUGCCUUCGCUUACCAAGCUAGACACUUACGAUAUCUCUAGUAAAACUAUGACGGAAUUUGCUGAGACGACGGUAUUGAAGAAGAAGAUGUUCUAUAACAUGCGUAUAAGGACGGUGUAUCGUAACCUCGCCCAAGUGAUUGGCAAGAUGCAGGCAUUUCAGCAACAGAUUGUCAACUUCCCGCACGAGAGGCUACGUGCCCUCAUUAAUGUUAUGAAAGAGAUAGAGUGUAUAGACGAGAGCCCGGGGCUGGCACAAAGAGAGGAGCCCACAGAUGAUAGCCCAAGCCCGGGCGCGGACGAAAAACAGGACUUAACACUCGUAUCACUUUUAGACUGUUUGAACCUACAGAAGCUAAGUGCUCAUCCAAACUAUAGCUCCAAACUGGAUGCAAUGAAGGAACGAGUGAAAAAAUGGGAAAGGAAGUGUUCAGAGAUAGAGGCAUUUUACGCUGAGACGGUGACUCGGUUUCGUGACUCGGCCCAUACUCUAGUCAACAGGAUGGUUGUGGAGUUAGAAUCAGGGGGAAAUGUGAGGUUUGAAGAGGGCUCACCUUCUGACUUGUGGUUCACAUCCUGCCAUGACCUGGUGUUGUCACGGUUUUGUGCAGCGGACUAUCGUGAACAUGGCAUUGUGGCAAUCAAGGUGCGGCGUAUCAUCCGCCUACAUAAUCGAACACUGCGGUCACGCUUUGAUGAUAAACUUGUAUCAAUUGUGGACAACCCAGAAGGGGAAUACUUCAUCUCAAAUAGAAAUGUUGGUUACAAGAAGCUACUUGAGUACCUGUUCUGGAUGUGGGACCCCUCGCUACCAGGUGGGACCAACGAGCCUGAAAGGAUACUGGAGGAAGGCUUCAUGGAUGCGGAGAACUAUACGGACUUAAGCCGAGAUGGUGCAGUGCCGUUAAGCAACAGUCUGAGUUUAGCGGACAGACACCGGAUAAACCACCUCAUGAACAAAAACAGAGGCAAGGAGGUCCAAGAGUUCUGCCCCUUUAAAUAUGGCCAGUUAGUGAUUUCAAAGGUGUAUCUUGGGAAAAAUGCCAAAGCCCUGGAUGAUAAAAUAAUUCAGCAGUCAUCAUAUCCAAAGUUAGACUCUGUGUUCAGGCCGAGGAAAAUGUGUGUUAACCAUGAUAAAAAUAAAUUAAACCUCGACAAUUCGUCAUGUGAGUGCAGCUCUCGGCAGUGUGAAUGGUACAUCUUCGAUAACGAGCUCGUUCUGCCCGAGUACAUUGUCGAGUUUGAAUAUGUCACCAAGAUGAGACCAAAAUCUCCGUUUGCUCAAUUUAACGAAGUGUUACUGGACAACAAGGAUAGCAACUACCCGAGCCCGCCCCUCCAGGAAGAGGAUAAACAAGUGGACAGCGAUGUCCUGAAUAUGGAGCCCCAGCCCAAACAAAGACCUAGAUUAGUAGCAGUAACAGAUGAACUUUUGUUGAAAAUCACCAUGGAAAAAGAGUUGGAGCAUAUAACCACCCUGAAUCUCCAUGGCAAUGGGUUGACCCGCUUGAAGCCUCUCCAGCCCCUAAAGUCCCUUAAACGCCUGGUUGUCAGCUUCAAUGAGCUCUCCAAGCUAGAUGAGCUCGCUCACAUGGGCUUGGAACAACUUGAUGCUAGUUUCAACAAAAUCGUAACUUUAGAAGGACUUAAGGGCCUACACAAACUUCGUCAGCUGGAUAUCAGCUGGAACAAGCUGACCCAUACGAAAGACGAGCUCUCCAUUCUCCGUAAACACAUGCCCAACAUUACGGCACUAGAUGUUCGCAAUAACCCAUGGCAGAAGGCUGACAGUUUGCGGCUACGUAUAAUCGGUAGAUUAAAAUUAUUGAAUCUUCUCAAUGGUGCAACAGUGACAGAAUCAGAAUCUUCUGCUGCACUGCGCAUUGCUGCAGGAUCUCGUAUUUCCCAGGUUUCAUUGCUCACAUUUUCCCGCACCGAUCAGUCCCGUCCCCGGUCACUGAGUCUUCUGUCAACGGCGCAGGUCCUGUGUACAACCAGCAGACACAAGCCAGAGAAAUUGAGCGACCAUGAUAUACACUGGUAUUCAAAGAUUACUUCCCUGAAUCUGGACAAUCAACACAUCACAAAGCUGUCCAACUUGGAAAAACUGGAACAUCUGAAAUAUGCGUCCUUCAACAAUAAUGACAUCACUAAAAUAGAGGGUUUAGACCACUGCCAGAAACUUGAAGAACUCUCCAUCGAAAACAACUGUAUCUGUAAAUUAGAUGGCAUCUCAAAACUAACACACCUACGCCGCCUAAGUCUCUGCCAGAACUACAUCACCUCGCUUGAGUUCUCCAGUCUCCAAAACCUCGUACAUCUACACUAUCUUGCCCUCGACAAUAAUCAGCUUACCUCGCUGAAUGGUCUUCAGAAUUGCACCCCUCUGAUGGAGGUCUACAUCGGCAAUAACCAGAUCACGAAUAUCAGAGACGUGUUCCAUUUGAAGAGUUUGACGAACCUGGUGAUUCUUGACAUGUUUGGAAACCCUGUUGCCGUGGACAACGACAACUACCGUCUGUUUGUCAUUUACCAUCUCCGAACACUCAAGGCCCUUGAUGGCUCGGCAAUUGACACCUCAGAGGGGAAUAAUGCCAAGGAUAUGUUUGGAGGACGGUUGACUCCAGACUUUGUGGCUGAAAAACUAGGUCAUUCAAACUUCUUGGAUGUUAGAGAAAUGGACUUGCCCUCCAGCGGUAUCCGGAUAGUGGACUUAGGGGCAGCUGAUGUGUUUCUAAAUCUGCGGAGUGUGAACCUGGAGCAUAAUAACCUCACCUCGUUCAGCGGACUCAUCAACCUCCCAAACCUCAGGGUGCUGUGCUUAAACCACAAUCGUAUAGAGUGUGUAAUGCCAAAACAGAAGCAAACAUCGAAAACGAAGACGGGACUCACUUCCAACCCCUCGUCUUUCAAGAACGCUGCGGACCUCUUUAACCAGGACACAAACCUCGCUCCAGUUCUUGAAAACUUGGAGGUGCUUCAUCUUGGUUAUAACGGUAUCAAGGAUAUGGGAGCUCUUCAGUUGAGCCGACUGACUGGAUUGAAAGCGCUGUUCCUUCAAGGUAACGAAAUCCAGAAAGUCGAAGGCAUGGAGCAUCUGCAUGAUUUACGUGAGCUGGUAUUGGACCGCAACAAGAUCAAGAGCGUGUGUGAGAUGUCAUUCAUCAACCAAUGGAAUCUUCAGGAACUGCAUAUGGAGGAGAACCGUCUGAGGGAGUUGGCAAACUUUAACUGUCUGGAGAAUUUACAGAGGCUGUAUCUGGGGUCAAACAGAAUUCAGGAAGUCGGAGAGUUAGAAAACCUUGAUGGUCUACAAAGCCUCAUUGAGAUAUCCGUCGUUAAUAACCCGGCAUGGUGUUUUGCAAGAGCUGCACGACGCCAUCUACAUCGCCCGCUGCUCGUCUAUCGCCUGAAGAAUCUGCUGGUAAUCGACGGAAUUCCCGUAACAGAGGAAGAACGUGCGAAGGCGGAACUCUACUUUAUGGACCAGCAGGAAUUAGAUUUCAUACGGAAGGAUACCAUAUACCAUUUGUCUCCAACUCCUGAUUCGAUCAGCCCAGCAUUGGGGGCCAAGGGGCGGCAGAUGGUUCCCUACCAGGGAUCGGGCAGUACAAGGCACAAAUCCCGGUCAAGGUCACCAACAUGCAGCUGGCCACAUCCCCUCUCUGGAAUGGAAGUAUCUUCUAUGACGAGGCAACUGCCCAAGAUAACGCUCAGAGAGGUGGUGGUCGAAGGAGAGGUGGAAAACAAGCGAACGGAGAAAGUGGAAUGCCAGCGCCACUCGGACGAACGAACACCAUGUACCAACAGCCCAGUGGGGGAACAGGGUACGGAGGCUUCACGUACACAAACAGCGGAAACAGGGCACAAUUCUAUCUGAACCAAAUCCCUUAUGUGGCUUCUCAGUCUUCGCAAACUGCCGAGUAUGUUGAGUGGUUGACAAGAAUGAAUAAUAGCAGGAACAACAGAAAAUGAUUCCUGUGACUUGGUGCUUACUUCACUGUCAACUCAACAGAUAUAGGAGGGGAAUCCUGUUGUGCCUGACCAAGGUCUACAUGAAAAGUCUUUUGACAUUAAAAAUACUUGUUGAAUGAUGUUGGCAUUUUACACUACUUGUAAAAUGGCGUGGUUACAAUCUUUGCAUGUUACACUACUUUUAAAAUGGCGUGGUUACAAUGUAACCUGGGGCAGUGAUUACAAACUUCAUUUCUUUGUACUAUUUCUUCUGUCAAAGCAUUUAUGUUGAAAUUUGUUGAAAUAUAUUACUAUGUGAAUGUUUUACUAUAUUUACAUAAUUUUUUGUAAUAGAAAUGGAAUAAAUAUUACGUUUAGUUCCUUAAAAAAGGUCCUUUUCUGAGUCUGGGUCAAGACUUGGACUUGAGACUGUUCGUAAUCAUAGCCCCUGGCAUUUUACACUAAGUUACAAACUUACAUAGUUGAAAUCUUGGCAUUGAACACUGCUUAUAAAAUCACAUGGUUAUAAUGUAACUUGGCAUUUUACACAACUUGUAAGAUCACAUGAAAACAAGCUUAGCAAUUCACACUACUUGUAAAAUGGUGUUACAAAUGUAACAUGGCAUUUUACACUACUUCUAAACUUACAUGGUUACAGUCUUGGCAUUUUACACUACUUGUCAAAUCACACAGUUAAAAUACUGGCAUUUAACACAUCUUAUAAAAGCACAUGAAAGCAAUUUUGGCAUUUUAUACUCAAUUUGUAAAACGGGUCUGGUUACAAUGUAAAUUGGCAUUUUACUCUAUUUCUAAACUUAAUGGUUGAAAUCUUGGCAUUUAUAACACUACUUGUAAAAUGACAUGGUCAUACAUGCCAUAUUUUCUGGAGACCAUUCAGGGGGAUUUGUUCAAAAGGCUGAAAAUUCAGGGGGAUUUUGAUUGUAUUCAGGGGGAUUUUUUUAGCAGGUCUAAGUUGGCGAAAUUUUAAAGUAUUUUUAGACGCAAGAAUGAAAAAAUGUUUUCACAUAUAGUUUGCUUUGAAAACCUCUUAACUUUUUCAUUAUACAGAAUUAUUUUAUGUCAUGAUUUAUCAUAUUUUUAUGAUACACUGUCAUGUCAUACUGUAAUGCACUUGCAGAACAAAAUAUGUCAUUGGAAAAAUAUGUUUUCGAGACAAUUAAAUAAAAUUCACCUUCCUCCAAAGUCUUUAAAAAAAUUGUGCUUUAAUUCUAUCAGCUUUGAUGACUUUCAGACAAUAAGGGAAUAGAAUAAAUAUUAUUAAUUUCUUCCUUCCAAAAGAGUAAUAUUUCUUUGCCUUUGAUAAUUACUACAAAUUAAUUGAUCACUUGUUGUAAAAGUUUCCUAUUGGAGACAUUCACUCACAUACUGUGGUUUCAGUUUGUCAUUAUUGCCUGAUGUAAAAUUUCAAAAAAAAAAAAAAAUAUAUAUAUAUUUUUUUUUUUAAAUUCAUUUUUUUUUUUUUAAAUUCCGGGGGAUUUUUAUCUCCCGCCGGGAGACCGGGGGAUGGAUCGAAAUUCCGGGGGAUUUUUCCCCCCGCCGGGGAAUAUGGCAUGUAUGCAUGGUUACAAUCUUGGCAUUUUACACUACUUGUAAAAUAGACAGGUUACAAUGUAACUUGGCAAUUUACACUUAAUAAAAUAAUAGAUAUGUAAAAAGUUACUUCCUUUGUGGCUUGUUUACAUUUAGUAAGAUGUUUCUGUGAUAAGCUUGCACAGUUGUUCAGAGUGUAUCAUUAUUUAUAGUUUGUUAAGGAUGUUUCAGAUAAUAUUCCGUCCAUCAAAUAAGCAUUCUCAUUUAACAUUCCUUAAAACAGAUUUAUUUUACCCAUGUUAAACUAUGCAUAAAACUGUUAAACCAUGUUAAACUAUGUACAUACUGCUAAACCUGUAUAUACUGUAGUGAAAUUUGCUAUUAAUUUCAUUGUAUAUUACAGACACUAUUUUUAUGGUAUGCCAAAGUAUCAAAAUUGUGAUGUAAUAUUUAAUUGUUCCAGAGCAUUCACAAAACUGAGCCAAAAUCUAAACUAAAAGCACUAUUACUUUAAGUAUUCUUAAAAGUAUGUGAUAUUUUUUAAAUAUUUUGUUGUUUUUCCAUGUGCAAGAACAGGAGUAGCAACACAUCAUUUGCAUAAUUUUAGUUUUAAGAAAUCUGACCCACAAAUAUGUGAAUUUGAGAUGCCUGGUGGCCCCGUAUUAUAUCAGUACCAUUUGAAAUGGUUUUGAAAAAGUUUAAACGUAAAACUCUUAACAAUAAUUUUAUAACAAAAAAGGUUUUUCACCUUUAAAGAUUACAAAAUAUGUCAGUUUAUGUCCAAUAUCAGUUUAAUUUAAGAGCACAUAAUUAUGAACACUAAUAAAUACUGUAUGAUGGGUUAAAUGAGGUACCGGAGAAUUAGUUUAUUUGUUGGGUCAGGAUUCGCUCACAGAUGUUUUUAACCUUUUGCUGCAAUUGACUUAUUUUACGUUUUUUUUAAUUUAACGUAUGUUUGAAAUUGACUUAUUUUACGUUUAAUUUUUAAAAACACCAAACAGUACCUAGCAGAUACGCUUUGAACAGAAUUUUGUAAUUGAGGCAUAAAACAAAUAAUUUUUUAAAAGUAUUACUAAUGCUGUUUUGCAAAAUAGAGCUAUCAGCAUUUCUGUCACAUUUCGAAAAUGAUUAUUAUUAAUAACGUCAGUGAGAGCUCUUAUUUGAACUUAUUGUGGCGUUUAAUCAGUGAAGCAGGCGUUUUGUUCCAAUUUCGCACAAAAUAUGAUUUUUUUUAUAUCUGACCUUUUAAUAUGUGAUUAAGUCCCUUAAGGACAGAACAAUCAGUGUGAUAUUUUGUUUUGUUUUUUAUUUUACCUAUAUUUAAGACAUAUUUAAAUUAAAGAAAAAUACUAUUAGUAUCACACCAAUAUUUUCAAAUACUAUUGCAUUUAUGGACAAUGACAGAAUGUUUGUGAUAUAAAUGCAGGUUUUGUGUAUAUGUACAACAGGGUGUGGUGCCCGGGGCAUUAAGCAUUAGUUUCUUGCCCAUUUUAGUUGUUGUUGGUUUCAAAGAAACUGCUGAUAUGUCCCGUAUUUGUCAUAAGUUGGUAUCGAUUGUUGGUAUUGAUUGCUGGUAUUGGAAACUUAUUGUUUUACAGUUUAUAAAGGUCUGGCAUUAUAGUUUGACCCCUUGCAUUGGAAAAUGUUAACCACGGUAUAUUUGAGACAGGGCCCACAUUCACUUACGACUUACGUCUGAGUUUCAGACUCAGACCAGCCAGUUCUUAUAUUUUGGUACCUUUAUAACUUUCAUAUAACUGUUGCAUUACAAAAAGAUGUAAAUAACUAUAAAAAUUGCUACUUGUUAAUUAUCAUAUGGUCAAAAUCGGUCCAGACCGGCAAAUUGACGUUUUUUAGAAGCCGUGAUGAAAACCUUGGUAUUAUCAGCAUUGCAAUCCUUGUAGAACAAAAUCUUGAACCAGUUGGCCAUUAUCCAAGUUGGCCUUUAUCCCAAAUUGGCCAUUAUCGCUGUUGGCCAUUAUUCCAAGUUGGCCAUUAUCUGAUCUGAAAAUCAAAGCACUCUUGUUAUCAAUUUCACUCUUCUUAUAACAAAUAAUUUUUCACUUUUGAGGCUUACUGAAUAUUAGCUCUAAGGUUGAGAGUCUAUGUGUAACCAUGUAAAUGAUUAAUAUGUCUGUUUCAUGUUAAGAAAUUAACAUUUAUGACACAUGGAAAUGAAUAUGGUGCAAAUAUUUUUAUUCUUAGAUAUGAAAUUACUGUUUUAUAAUGAGACGUUUGUUUCAACUCUGUUAGGCUUUUAAAUAAAAGUGCUUGUUUCUAAAGUACUGAUAAGCCCUUUCUUCCCACACCUCACUGACCCUUAUUUUAUUUUUGCCCAGAGACUUUUAUUUUUUCUUAUUGUGAGUAUUGGUGUGUUUUUUUACUUGAGAAAGACGCCAUAAUUCAAGUAAACUCAUACCGUAUGGGGCUGUUUUGAAGUGUGACAAAACAUACGAAAUAUCUUAUAAAAAAAAAAUCCCAACCUAUCUACCCUAUUCUUCGGGUGCAGUGAAAUUAGAAACAAACAAUUUUUUAUCUGGCCUUUAUAUGAUUAUUAUAUGUUCAUUUAUCCUAAAUUCCGUCCAUUGUUAGAUAUGUAUAUUAAUGAAGUUAUUAUAUUUAUAAUAUACAUGUUUUAAUGUAAAGUUUAUGUGCAAAUCACAAUGUUUUAUAUCUUGAAUAGAGAAAA